UCUAUUUCAGUUCCAUAAUGAUGAAUCCCAUUCUGUUGCUUGGAAUUCUAAUAUUAGCAUACUUUAGUUGUUCUCAACAAUCUGAAAAUGCCUUCUUACAGUACUGGGAAGAGCAUAUUGGUCUUCCACACCCUCCACAUUGGUUAGCUGCAAAGGCUUCUCCAUUAAGCCCCCAACAGACAGCAGCGUUUAUAAAACUUAUGGAG